rnacentral:rRNA from 1 species
GACGAACGCUGGCGGCGUGCUUAACACAUGCAAGUCGAACGGAAAGGCCCUGCUUUUGUGGGGUGCUCGAGUGGCGAAAGUGUGAGUAACACGUGCGUAACCUGCCCUUGACUUUGGGAUAACUUCCGGAAACUGGUGCUAAUACCGGAUCGGAGCUCCUGCUGCAUGGUGGGGGUUGGAAAGUUUCGGCGGUUGGGGAUGGACUCGCGGCUUAUCAGCUUGUUGGUGGGGUAGUGGCUUACCAAGGCUUUGACGGGUAGCCGGCCUGAGAGGGUGACCGGCCACAUUGGGACUGAGAUACGGCCCAGACUCCUACGGGAGGCAGCAGUGGGGAAUAUUGCACAAUGGGCGGAAGCCUGAUGCAGCAACGCCGCGUGCGGGAUGACGGCCUUCGGGUUGUAAACCGCUUUCACCAGUGACGAAGCGUGAGUGACGGUAAUGGGUAAAGAAGCACCGGCUAACUACGUG